GGGUCCACUGUGUAACGGUUAGCACUCUGGGCUUUGAAUCCAGCGAUUCGAGUUCAAGUCGCGUUGGAACCU
rnacentral:tRNA from 1 species